rnacentral:rRNA from 1 species
UACGUAGGGUGCGAGCGUUAAUCGGAAUUACUGGGCGUAAAGCGUGCGCAGGCGGUUCGUUGUGUCGGUGGUGAAAGCCCCGGGCUUAACCUGGGAAUGGCCAUGGAAACUGGCGAACUGGAGUGUGGCAGAGGGGGGUGGAAUUCCGCGUGUAGCAGUGAAAUGCGUAGAGAUGCGGAGGAACACCGAUGGCGAAGGCAGCCCCCUGGGCUAACACUGACGCUCAGGCACGAAAGUGUGGGGAUCAAACAGG